UCAAAGCAAUCUUAUCCUCUUUCAAAUCGUAGAUCAGAAGAGAUAGAUUCUCAUAAUUGAAAAAACAAAAUAUUUCUUAAAAUAAAUUUCAGCAAACCAAUGGAUCUGUUAUGAGCGCCCUCUGUUAUUCUGUACACCCACUUUUACUAGGCUUGCUUGAGAGAUCAAAAUAAAACUUCCAGCUAACUGGUAAAAAUGGGAAAUCGUAUCUUUUGUGGUUAACAAACCUUGUGCAGUUAAUGUAAAUCAUUGUAAUUUAAUUGUUCAAUUUACCUCUUGAUGAGUUGAAUUAACGCUUAAAGAGGAUAUUAACCUUGUGGUGAUCUAUCAAUCAAACAUAUUGUCAGUUAAAAAACAUUUUUUUUCAACUUUAACCUGUUGUCUGUUUCAGAUGUUCAUAUUUUGUGCGCUUUUCACUGUUACAAUGAGCUUUCUCAAUGCGUCAAUGUUUCAAAGAGAUUUGAUAAUUAUUUGUUAAUCAAUUUAUAAUCAUUAUCAUUUUCUUUCAUUGAACAGAUUGUCGCCUUUGGAUUUACAGUCAUCAUAUUUACAGUAAAAUAAAGCGUAAAAUAAUCAACGAUGAAGCAAGUUAUGGGCGUUUGACUGGCUUUGUUCGCCCUGGUAAACCAGGUUUCAUUUGCGUUGAAGGAUUUGAAGAUAACUGUGAAGCCUUCUGGAGGAAAAUUAGAAGCUUGACUUGGCAAAAGAUUAGCUUGAUUAUCAAAGAGUAUCCGAUCAAUGGGUCAAUCUAUGAAAAAUUUGAAGACAUACCAUUGGAUAAUUCAUCUUUCAUCCGAUAUUUGGAGCAACAUGGAGGCAGUCAUGUAAUAAAAGAUUAUCUUGGACUUUCGAAUUAAAUUUUAUAGCAAAGUAUAUGACUUUUACUGAAAUUACAAUUAUUCAAUAUGACAAAUGUGAGUUCAAUCGGGUUUAAAAAGUAGCUCAGUACUACAAAAUUCCGAUGAUGUUUUGUCACCUGAAAUUAAUGUGCCGAAAAUAAGUAAACUAAAAGCAUGGUGGAUUAGUGUAGAACCCGUUAUUAUUUGUAUUUAUGAUCAAAAUAAAUUGUCCUUUUGCUAGAUUUGA